UCACAGUACGCGCAUGCGCUGUGAGCAAACAACCAAUGUAGCUACAGAAUGGAUACACCGGCUUUUUAUUGUGGUUUUACAGACAGUUUCCGGGUUCGUUCACCUUGACAAAUGUAUUUUAUGUGUAGAUAUUGUGAACAAAAAGUUUAUUCGCAGCUCGACUUUUAUUGGUGGAACAUGCCAAUCAGCCGUGACCGUCAGUAAGGACCCGCUUUAUCUUCUCUCAACCCAGGGUCGAAAUGGGAAAAGGUUGUAAAGUGGUGGUGUGUGGCCUGGCAGCGGUUGGGAAAACAGCCAUUCUGGAGCAGCUGCUGUAUGGAAACCACUCUGUUGGCUCUGAGUCCAAUGAGACGCAGGAGGACGUGUACGUGGCGUCGGUGGAGACCGAUCGAGGGGUGAAGGAGCAGCUGAGGCUUUACGACACCAAAGGACUUCAAGAUACUCAAGACCUCCCGAAGCACUACUACUCUGUGGCCGACGGCUUCGUGCUGGUUUACAGUGUCGACAGCCUGGAGUCCUUCAAGAAAAUUGACUUCCUGAAGAAGGAAAUCGACAAGUCCAGAGACAAGAAGGAGGUGACCAUCAUCGUCCUGGGGAACAAAAGCGACCUGACCGAGCUCCGUCAGGUGGAGCAGGAGGCGGCGCAGCAGUGGGCACGGGGGGAGAAGGUGAAGCUGUGGGAGGUGACCGUGACAGAGCGCGGCUCACUCAUCGAACCCUUCAUCCAGCUGACCAGCCGGCUGACCCAGCCGCAGAGCAAGUCGGCCUUCCCUCUGCCUGGACGCAAAAGCAAAGGCACGGCCUCCAAUGACAUCUGAGAGGCCCCGCCCACCCGGACCCCCAACUCAACCAGUUUACACUCCUCUGCAGUGUUAACCAUCUGCAGUUAGAACAUUAUAUACAGGCUUGAUUCUUUGAUUCUUAAACAUGGCAGCAUGUGGUUGGUCAGGUGGAGCAGCUUCCUGAGUCCACUGAGGUUGCUGUAAUAGAAAUCAUAGUGCAAUAUGUGAACUGAUGUUAGUGAGUAGAUUUCUAAUUAAUAUUCAUGUCUGUAGCUAAUUAAUUUCCUCCUGCUGUUGAUGGCGUGAGGCUGAGGUUGAGACUGAUCCAGUUUGAGCAUUGAGCAUCCAAAUCCCUAAAAGGGAUUCUGCUGCCCCCUGCUGGAUUAUCCAGAGUUGCUGCUAUCAGCAGAGCUGAUAACCGUGGAGAUGGCCGGACUGAGAGGCCUGACCCGGUUUAGAUGUGUGAGCGGCUGCUUGCAUGGCGGCGUGCGACACACAGCUGGAGGCCAAUCCCAGUUCAGUCUGGGCUGAUAUGAUGACACUUUAUGACUUAAAAACAAAAUGUAGCCGUUUUUAAACCUGGACUGCACUGAUAGUGAUGUUAGCUCGAGUUUCAUUAUUUUGAUUGUAAAAGCAGCUGGCAAUUGUCAGUGUUCAUUCAGCAGGUUAGUAUUGUUUCUAUAGGCUAACAUGCUGUUAGUCAGGGUGUCUGACCAGCUGUAGAUCUCAGUGUUACCUCCACACAAGGGACUAAAAAAUUGGUUAUUUUUUAAAUUACAAGAAUAAAGUCAUUUAAUGAUGUAAUAUUGCCAGAAGAAAGUGGUAAAAUUACUAGAAAAAAGUUGUUUUAAUAAGAGAAAUCUUUGAUAAAAUGAUCAAGACCUCAUGCGAGCAACUCAUCUAGUCUGAGGAUUUUCUUUGAAAUAUAAUCAGUUUGCACAAGUCAUUGAUGAUAUUUGGAUGCUGAUGUGUUAAGAUGAAUGAUGUUCCAUUUGUAAAAUGGAGCCAUCACAAGAUUACCAGCAUUCUUUGUUUUAAUUUUUUUGUGUUUCUGUUCUCAUAAAAUUACAACAGUCUCCGAAUAUUACAUUACAACUUUAUUCUCGAAUUAUAUUUUUUUCAUAUAUUUGACUUCAUUCUCAUUACUUUUUUGUCGUACUUUAUUCUUGAAUUAGACUUCAUUAAUGUACGACUUUUUUCUUGCAAUAUCACAACUUUAUUCUUGAAAACGUAUUUAUUUUUUCUUGCUCUAAUCCUCUGUCAUAGACAAGUACUGCUAUUUGCAGAGACUUGUUUUUCUUUUUAGCUAGCUGCUGUUAGCUAACUAGUCAGCAACCUGCAGCCACAUGUGGGGUGGGGCGGUCCUGCUUCACUCUAUUAUUCUCGUA